rnacentral:lncRNA from 1 species
AAAAAAUACCUAAUUUUUUUUGUUAUCUUUUGAGUAUAAAGUUUAAAAAUACAUUUUUAUAAAUGUUUUCUUAAAUUUUGCCUAAUGACAAACUGUUGACUAGGUGUACUUUUAUAUUUUAUAAUGAAAAAUGUUGGUUUAAUCUCAGCCUAAUUGGAGUCCUCUGAAUAACCUAUAAUCUUGAUCAAAGUUUGAUCUUAUGUCAUUAUACAGUAAUGAUACUAUAAAUUCACCAUAAACACUAAAAACAACUCUUAUUUCUUUACAAGCUUAUCUUAUUCAGGUGACAAAAGCUCUGCAAAUUUUCCCAGGGUCUAUUUGUUUCAAUUCAGCUAUGAGCUAUUAAUAGUUAAUUAAAUCAACUAUUGAUUAAUUUAAUUGAUUAAUUUAAUUCUCUCCCAGCUAAGAGAAAAGGAUAAAAUUAACAUUUUGUGUGCCAAACAUUUUUAGGAGAUUCAUAUACAUCAUCAUCAUCAGAAUUAUAUUGAGUGCCUGCUAUGAUGUGCUGUGCUAAGAACUUUACACGUAUUACCACUUUUCCUCACUAUAGGUUUGUAACUAUUACACCCAUUUACAAAUAAGGAAAUUGAGGAUCAGCAAGAUUAGAUUAUCACUGCAAGUUCUGUCCAACUCCAGAGGCUGAG